UAAGAAAGUCGUAAGCACAUAAGGUUAUGUUAUAUUAAAAGGCCAAAUGGAAAAUAUCUCAAUGACAGUAAAAAAUUCGAAAUUGACCUGUAUCACCAGGAGUGUUAUUCAAAUAGGGAGAGAGGGAAUGAAGCUCAGAGACAGUCGUGCGUUCUUUUUUGAAAGGAGAAAGGAAAUCGAAAACUAAAUAUUCGCCAAAGAAAUCAGAUCAGAAAGGAAGCCAUGAUCAAAUUUUUGAACGUCACUCAAAUAAAAUAAAAUUUGGAUCUUCCAGUGACUGCCGUGCAUAUUGCAAACAUUUUUAGAUUUUUCCUCAAAAGACAUGAAACGUUGUGUUUUCCAACGAGAAAAAAAAUUGAUUUAGAUGACUCAGACUCGUACAGUUGUUAUGGGUACGAUUUGCGUAACAACAACGUGCGCGUGGGAGGAUUUUUCAUUGAAAGGAAUGAAGACACCAUUUUUAAGCAGGAUAACGCCGCCAUUCACGUGUCAAAAGAGUCUUUGAAAAGGUUUGAGGAGCAUAAAAUUCCGCUUAUGAAGUGGCCCGAGCUCACUUAAAUCCAGUGGAGAAGAUCUGGGGAUGUAUGUGGCGAAAAAUAUAUGGACAAAAAGCCCAAGGAAAACUUUAUAGGCCUGUUUUGGAGCUCAAGUUGGCCAUGAAAGAAGCUUAGAAAAAUUUGGACUGCACAAUACCGGUAAAUUUGUUGGCUAUCAGGAAACUCAGUUGCAUUCAAGUGGAAACGAUCUUCAACUUCCCGAAGCCAACUUCUAACCAAUGAUGAAGCGUACAAUACCUCCUCAUCUUGGGAUAAAACCGAUUUGUCGAGUAGUUGACAACAGCGGUAGCGAAUAAGUACACCGAAUAUUAAAGUCGAUAGAAUCAUCGUUUAGUCUUCUUUGCGAACCGAAAAUCAAUAUAAUACGAUAGAGAACUCCCCUACAGGUCUGCGUCGCGAUAUACGAGAAAAUCACUCUUUUUUCGAACAAAUUCAAUCACGGAAAUGUUUUGAGUUUGGAUGCGGAGCUUUAGUUACAACCAAAAAUUUUUAUAUAUUUUGUGUCAUGAAAUGAUUCUUUAUCUAUGGAACAUGUAGAAGAAAAAAAAAUAAAAAUAUAUAUAU